AUUGAACGCUGGCGGCAUGCUUUACACAUGCAAGUCGAACGGAACAUGGAGAGCUUGCUCUCUGAUGUCGAGUGGCGAACGGGUGAGUAAUACAUCGGAACAUGUCCUUUCAGUGGGGGACAACAGUUGGAAACGACUGCUAAUACCGCAUAAUGUAUUUGGGGGCAUCCCUGAAUACCAAAGCUUUAUGUGCUGAAAGAUGGUCUCGCGUCUGAUUAGCUAGAUGCGGGGUAACGGCCCACCAUGGCGACGAUCAGUAGCCGGUCUGAGAGGAUGAACGGCCACAUUGGGACUGAGAUACGGCCCAGACUCCUACGGGAGGCAGCAGUGGGGAAUAUUGGGCAAUGGGGGAAACCCUGACCCAGCAACGCCGCGUGAAGGAAGAAGGCCUUCGGGUUGUAAACUUCUUUUAGCAGGGACGAAGGACGUGACGGUACCUGCAGAAAAAGCAACGGCUAACUACGUG
rnacentral:rRNA from 1 species